UUUGUGGAUCGUCGUCAUAGGUGGCAGGUGCAUAUAAUUCACAUUCGCAUAAUGUCCUAGUGGUUG
rnacentral:sRNA from 1 species